rnacentral:pre_miRNA from 1 species
GGGAGCACAGGAUCCUGGGCUCUGUCCCCUGGCGCCCUGGGCUCCGGGGCCUGCACCUCUGGAAUUGCGCUCCUGGGGCCACGGCUCCC